rnacentral:rRNA from 1 species
AGUGAACGCUGGCGGUAGGCCUAACACAUGCAAGUCGAACGGCAGCACAGUAAGAGCUUGCUCUUACGGGUGGCGAGUGGCGGACGGGUGAGGAAUACAUCGGAAUCUACUUUUUCGUGGGGGAUAACGUAGGGAAACUUACGCUAAUACCGCAUACGACCUACGGGUGAAAGCAGGGGAUCUUCGGACCUUGCGCGAUUGAAUGAGCCGAUGUCGGAUUAGCUAGUUGGCGGGGUAAAGGCCCACCAAGGCGACGAUCCGUAGCUGGUCUGAGAGGAUGAUCAGCCACACUGGAACUGAGACACGGUCCAGACUCCUACGGGAGGCAGCAGUGGGGAAUAUUGGACAAGGGGCGCAAGCCUGAUCCAGCCAUACCGCGUGGGUGAAGAGGGCCUUCGGGUUGUAAAGCCCUUUUGUUGGGAAAGAAAAGCAGCAGGUUAAUACCCCGCUGUUCUGACGGUACCCAAAGAAUAAGCACCGGCUAACUUCGU